CGAAGUGUGCCCGAGAUACUAGGGGCUAUCUUGAUGAGAUAAGCACAGAGCAACACACUCUCACUUCCA
rnacentral:tRNA from 1 species